rnacentral:tRNA from 1 species
GCAGCUUUAGCUCACUUGGGAGAGCGCCAGGUAAGCCUCAACACCAUCAGCUGCCGAUCUCAGCAUUCACUAACAAUUCAUCAGACUGAAGUCCACUUCGGCCCAACGCCUGCCACAGCCAUCUGUGCGGUAUCUGGAGGUACUGUGUUCGAUCCACAGAAGCUGCA